UUCUGACCUCGAAUCAGGUGGGACUACCCGCUGAACUUAAGCAUAUCAAUAAGCGGAGGAAAAGAAACUAACAAGGAUUCCCUUAGUAACUGCGAGUGAAGUGGGAUGAGCUCAAAUUUAAAAUCUGGUAGUCUCUGGCUGCCCGAGUUGUAAUCUAGAGAAGUGUUUUCUGUGCUGGACUGUGUUUAAGUUUCCUGGAUAUGGAACAUCAUAGAGGGUGAGAAUCCCGUCUUUGACACAGACUGCCAGUACUCUGUGAUGCACUCUCAACGAGUCGAGUUGUUUGGGAUUGCAGCUCAAAAUGGGAGGUAAAUUCCUUCUAAAGCUAAAUAUUGGCGAGAGACCGAUAGCGAACAAGUACCGUGAGGGAAAGAUGAAAAGCACUUUGGAAAGAGAGUUUAAA
rnacentral:rRNA from 1 species